GAUGAACGCUAGCGACAGGCUUAACACAUGCAAGUCGAGGGGCAGCGGGGGUGAUGGCUUGCCAUCACCUGCCGGCGACCGGCGCACGGGUGAGUAACACGUAUGCAACCUGCCCGCCACAGGGGGAUAAGCGGAAGAAAUUCCGUCUAAUACCGCGUGACGCGGCGCCGGGGCAUCCCGGUGCCGCCAAAGGGAUUACCGGUGGCGGAUGGGCAUGCGGCGCAUUAGCUAGUCGGCGGGGUAACGGCCCACCGAGGCGACGAUGCGUAGGGGUUCUGAGAGGAAGGUCCCCCACACUGGGACUGAGACACGGCCCAA
rnacentral:rRNA from 1 species